rnacentral:rRNA from 1 species
AACGAACGCUGGCGGCAGGCCUAACACAUGCAAGUCGAACGCUCCGCAAGGGGAGUGGCAGACGGGUGAGUAACACGUGGGAACCUUCCCAUCGCUACGGAAUAGCUCAGGGAAACUUGGGGUAAUACCGUAUACGCCCGAAAGGGGAAAGAUUUAUCGGCGAUGGAUGGGCCCGCGGCUGAUUAGCUAGUUGGUGAGGUAACGGCUCACCAAGGCGACGAUCAGUAGCUGGUCUGAGAGGACGACCAGCCACACUGGGACUGAGACACGGCCCAGACUCCUACGGGAGGCAGCAGUGGGGAAUAUUGGACAAUGGGCGCAAGCCUGAUCCAGCCAUGCCGCGUGAGUGACGAAGGUCUUCGGAUUGUAAAGCUCUUUUGGCGGGACGAUAAUGACGGUACCCGCAGAAUAAGCCCCGGCUAACUUCGUGCCAGCAGCCGCGGUAAU